GGCAGGAGACCGAGCACGAAAGGCGGAAGGCUGGGGCGCGCUUUCUGGGCCGUGCGCCGCGGCCGGAGCUGUUUGCGGGACUAUGUCUGUCGGCAGGAGGGAAGUGUUCAUAGGGAAAGUACUGAAGAGGCUCUUUGCUGCUACUCCCUCCACUUCUCAUGUGCCUGUUCCAAGUGGAGAAGAAAUGGUACUAAAAACUCCUGCCUCAAAACCACAGCAGAAGGAUUCUGAGAGUGCUCAGACUUCAUCAGAAUGUGCCAGUUCCCCAGGUAGAGAAAAUGAAAUCCUGCUUCCAAGGUUAUACACAGUAAGUCUCCCUCCUGAAGGCUACGUCCCCGGUAAUCCAAGAACAGAUAGUCCCACAAAUGCUGAAAACUCAGAGAGUAGUGAUGAUGCAGCAGAGGAGGAUUCUCAUGGACAACCCAAAAAAAAGCGCAUUCGAAGGAAGAAACGAAAGAACACUGUUGGAAAUCCUGAUAAUUUACGUAGAGAACAAACAGAAUCUGGGAAGCAUGACACUCUGUUUCAAGAUAAUGUACAGCUGCAGCAGACAGACGGCACAAAAGUAAGCAAAAACAAAAAGAGGAAAAUGAAAAAGAAACGGCAAAAAGAAAAGAUGAGAGCAGCUGGCAUGCUAACAAAAACCACUGGUGUGGAUUUUACAUACCAGCCUGAGAAGGACAACUGUGAAGGAGCAUACUUUAAAGACAUAUAUGAAAAAGCAGAUGGCAUUCUGGACUUCUUGAAGGCAACGCAAGAAAUCUAUUUUGCUGACAAUAAAUCAAAAUGCACAGAUUCACCUAUGAGUUCAGCAACCGUCCAAGAGAUUUUACAACAUCUUGAAUCUCACAGCAUGGCUUCCUCAGAUGUGAGACUUCUUCAGCAGAUGAAAUCCCUUGUACUUUUGCAGGAUACUGAGAGAUUGAAGGGCAUUUUGGAACAAUUCCAAGAACAUUCCAUGAUGCUGCCUGAUGUUGUAGUGGGCCGGCAUGGCUCCCCUCCUCCCCAGAGAGGGUCGGGCCCCGCCAGAGGCCAGAGUGGGCGGAGCUACGGAGCUCUGAGCCCGCCCCUCAAAGGGUCAGGCUGCGACCUGGAACUAUAAAAGCCAGCCCUCAGAGCUCAGUCAGGCCCCAGCAGCCAGAGAGAACAGACGUCCCUCAGGGGGCCCAAGACUGGGAGACUCCGGCGACCGAGGGGAGCCGCCCCGACUGGCCAGAGCUCCCCCGCGCUCGCUACCGGGAGAAGCUGUCUGAGCCUCCCUGCGCUCGCUACCCGGAGGAGCUGCUGGAGCUUACCCACGCCUGCUACCCAGAGGAGCCGCCGGAGCUUCCCCGCACCUGCUACCUGGAGGAGCCGACGGGGCUCCCCCGCGCCUGCUGCUACCCAGAGGAGCCGUGCUACCCUGGCCCGACUAUCCAAAGGAACUCCCGGACUUACCACCCAGCCCCGGUCGCGAGGAGCCUAUGCUCAUGGACCCUUCAGAGGCCGACGUUAGGACCCAGAUCAUGCCAAGAUAAUCUCUUCUCUGUUCCACUACUGGAUUACAGAUAUCCUUCCUGUGAAGAACAGGAAAUAAAGCAUGUGUGUGCGUCCAUCUGUGCAGAGUUAAAAUUUAAUAUACAAACUGUAAGUUGAAUAGCGAAUGUUCAGAAAUAGCAGUGUACGUGCUGUAUAUUCAGCAAGGUAAAUGAGGUAUUUUUCAUUUCAUUGACUUCCUCCAAAAUAUGUAAAAGUAUUUUGAUUUUGUAUUUUGGUUGGUUGGGAACAUCUUACAUAUGGGCAUCAUAUCAACCAAAUCAUUUAACAUAGACCCUGAAUCUGUUUGCACAGUUGGAUCUGUGCAAACAGAUGCAUCUUUUUGCUGUAUUAGGGACAUAUGGGAUGGUUUCUAGGUGCUCAAACCCUUUUGAUUCAAGAGUUACAUUAAACUUAAAUGUUUAUUGGUAAUUUCUUUCUAGAAAAUGUGGUUCUUAGCUAUUAUUGUUUACAGAGUGUCAGAAUGUAUUCUAGGUGGAAUUUAUAACACCAUCUAUAGGUAAGGUAGCCCAACACUUCCUAUAUAAGACCCUUUUUUUAGUUGCGUUUAAUUUCGCCAAACUUUAAUCAUUUGAGCUGAAAUUUUCCAUGCUGGAUGACUGCCGCAGGCUGACUUUUUUGGAAAGUUCAGCCACAACAGUUUCACUGUUUUUGAGAAAGACAAAAGAGAAAAUAAAGUUGUUUUUAAAACUUUGAGAAA